CCGCCCAAGGUAGGAUUGAUGAUUAGGGUGAAGUCGUAACAAGGUAUCCGUACCGGAAGGUGNGGANGGNNCNCCUCCUUUCUAUGGAGUUAUACUUUAUAGUAAAUAGGGNUAUAAUGAAGUUAUGUUUAGUUUUCAGAGAUUAGUUUCUCUGAAUUAAUCGAAAUUGAACAAGUAGUUAAAUUUUGAUUAAAAAUUGUUCUUUGAAAACUGGAUAAUAGACAUCUAGUUAUUUCAUUUUUAAUGAAAUAACAAAAUAAUUCAAAUUUUCUGUUAUUAAAGUAAUUUUUAAAUUAAUAACUAAAAUUUCACAGUUAUAUUUUGUAAAUGAUUCUCAAAAAAAUUAUAAAAACCUUGAUUAAUUUAAUUAAUUAAGCAAUGAUCAAACUUUGAAGUUACAAAGGG
rnacentral:misc_RNA from 1 species